rnacentral:rRNA from 1 species
GUGCCAGCAGCCGCGGUAAUACGAAGGUCCCGAGCGUUGUUCGGAAUCACUGGGCGUAAAGGGAGCGUAGGCGGUGCGGUAAGUCAGAUGUGAAAUCCCGGGGCUCAACCCCGGAACUGCAUCCGAUACUGCCGUGCUAGAGGAUUGGAGAGGUAGCUGGAAUUCUUGGUGUAGCAGUGAAAUGCGUGGAUAUCAAGAGGAACACUCGUGGCGAAAGCGAGCUACUGGACAACUCCUGACGCUGAGGCUCGAAGGCCAGGGGAGCGAAAGGGAUUAGAUACCCCUGUAGUCCUGGCAGUAAACGGUGCACGCUUGGUGUGAGGGGAUUCGACCCCCCUUGUGCCGGAGCAAACGCGUUAAGCGUGCCGCCUGGGAAGUACGGUCGCAAGACUAAA